UAUACUUUAGUAUAUGAUUUACAUUAAUUUUUGAUAUUAAAAUAAAUAGUUUAAUUCUAUUAAGUAUAA
rnacentral:tRNA from 1 species